GCCUAAAGAAAAGCUCGCGGCUGAUUAGCUUGUUGGUAAGGUAAUGGCUUACCAAGGCGACGAUCAGUAUCUGGUUUGAAAGGACGAUCAGACACACUGGAACUGAGACACGGUCCAGACUCCUACGGGAGGCAGCAGUGGGGAAUUUUCCGCAAUGGGCGAAAGCCUGACGGAGCAAUACCGCGUGAGGGAAGACGGCCUAUGGGUUGUAAACCUCUUUUUUCAGGGAGGAACAAAAUGACGUGUACCUGAAGAAUAAGCAUCGGCUAACUCCGUGCCAGCAGCCGCGGUAAGACGGAGGAUGCAAGUGUUAUCCGGAAUCACUGGGCGUAAAGCGUCUGCAGGUGGUUUGUUAAGUCAACUGUUAAAUCUUGAGGCUCAACUUCAAAUCAGCAGUCGAAACUAUCAGACUAGAGUAUAGUAGGGGUAAAGGGAAUUUCCAGUGGAGCGGUGAAAUGCGUAGAUAUUG
rnacentral:rRNA from 1 species